AAUUGAAAAGAGAUUCACCUUUGUAUAUGUCCAAGAAUAAGGCUUGGACGUUUCUACCAGGCUGCCGUAAAUAGCUUGACUACAGAGUGUGUGGACUUUCUG
rnacentral:ncRNA from 2 species